AGAGUUUGAUCAUGGCUCAGAACGAACGCUGGCGGCGUGGAUAAGACAUGCAAGUCGAGCGAGAUUUUUCGUUGUAGCAAUACGAUGGAAAGUCUAGCGGCGAACGGGUGCUUAACACGUGGGCAACCUGCCAUGAAGUGGGGGAUAGCUCGCCGAAAGGCGAAUUAAUACCGCAUGUGAUUAGAGAGGAUAUCCUUUCGAAAUUAAAGUCGGGGCAACCUGACGCUUCUUGUGGGGCCCGCGGCCUAUCAGCUAGUUGGUGAGGUAACGGCUCACCAAGGCUUUGACGGGUAGCUGGUCUGAGAGGACGACCAGCCACACUGGGACUGAGACACGGCCCAGACACCUACGGGUGGCAGCAGUCGAGAAUUUUUGACAAUGGGGGAAACCCUGAUCGAGCGACGCCGCGUGGAGGAUGAAGGUCUUCGGAUUGUAAACUCCUGUCAUUUGGGAACAAGGCGCGUGUAUUAACUGUGCACGCGUUGAUAGUACCAGAAGAGGAAGGGACGGCUAACUCUGUGCCAGCAGCCGCGGUAAUACAGAGGUCUCAAGCGUUGUUCGGAUUCAUUGGGCGUAAAGGGUGCGUAGGCGGCGCGGUAAGUCGGGUGUGAAAUCUCGGAGCUUAACUUCGAAACUGCAUUCGAUACUGCCGUGCUUGAGGACUGGAGAGGAGACUGGAAUUUACGGUGUAGCGGUGAAAUGCGUAGAUAUCGUAAGGAAGACCAGUGGCGAAGGCGGGUCUCUGGACAGUUCCUGACGCUGAGGCACGAAGGCCAGGGGAGCAACGGGAUUAGAUACCCUAGUAGUCC
rnacentral:rRNA from 1 species